GCGGAUGGAGGCGGGGGACCCACCAGGUCCGCCGAGAUCGGACCCGAGCCGCAUACGGCUCCUUGGGGUGAAGCCAACGUCGUUCGCCGAUGUACGACCGCGGCCGGGUGAUCCUCUCCACGGCGAAUCCAACCCGAACCCGACAGCUGACCUCGUAGGCGUGUACCGAGAGGAA
rnacentral:sRNA from 1 species